GGGGGCGUUGAAGAGGCCGCUCUUUUUGCAAGGCCCAAGAUGGCGGGCCCUGCUCAGGCCGCGCUAUUUCGCGCCCUCAGGGCGUCAGUAUCCUGUUGGGGCCGGAUGCCCCCGCUGGGCCCGGAGCAUCCUUGGAGCUGCCCUCGCAGAGCCGCGCUGAGGCUGAGGUGGCGCGGGGGGUCCGGGCUCCGCGAGGAGCGGCGGCAGCGAGGGCUGGAGGACCCGGGCUCCGGGGCUCCAGGCAUCUGGCCUGGGUGGGACUGAACCCAUCCAGGGACUGGGACUCCCGGGUUCUGGUGCGGGUGGAUCCUGUGCAGACUCAGGACCAAGUCCCUCUCCUUCCACCAAGGAGCCCCCAGAGGCCGGCGGGAGCUCCAGGUUCACCUUCUCCUCCUUCAGGAAAUCCUACUUCCAACUGGAUGUCUGGAUGAACUACUGAAAGCCACUGAGUAUCCUGCAGCAGGUGAACUGUGGCCAGAGCCCAAGGAUGAAGGGGGCUCCCUCUGUGACUGUGAAGAGGAAGCCUGAGGGUUGGACCCAAGAUUCUGUACUUCUAUGGAGCCCUGUGUUCUGCCCAGGUGUCAUUUACUCUCAGAGUCCUGGAAGAAGAAAUGAACACUGCUGAGAAAGAUGUUCCACAAGGAGGAAGGAGUCACCGUUUUCAGGAGCAUGAUCCCCAGAAGCAUGAGAAAUCCAGAUGCCAUGGCUUUACACAGGACGCUGGAGUUUCUUUCCUCUGGAUCCAGGACCUUGGCAUCGGUGUUCUGUAAUGCCCAUAACUGAAUUUGAGUGUUGCACCCAAGAUUCUGUGAUUCUACAGAGUCCUGAGUUCUGUCCUGGACAUCUCUACUCUUGGGUAGGUCAACUUUGAUCACUGUACCUAAUGAUAAAUGUACCGUUAAAUCUAAUCAGCAAAUACACUAAAGGAAGGGGCCAUUCUCCACAAUUGUUUCACUCUGGUAGGUCAACUUUAAUAACUGUACCUAAGAAGAAAGGGAUCUGUGAUGAUUCCACAUCAAAGAACCUGUUGACUUUUUGCCAUUUGAAUGAAUUAUGUUAACAUUUAAAUAGAGUUUAAAACCCCAGAUUUCCCAUGAAAUCUAAUCAGCAGAUACACAAAAGGAAGGGGCCAUUCUCCAAAAUCAUUUCCACUGAAACACCACCACCAAUAAACAAGUCUCAUUGCAGGAAAGGGAUCCUGCUUCCAAGAUCCAGUUUGCACAGUUGGAAGAUUGACCCAGAAUCUCCCCUAAUGCCAUUUUUUUUUACACCUGAAGUGAGAUUUAUUUCAGGGUUUUCUAAUUUUAUUUCAGCUGAAUACACACAGUCUUGUGUUUCAAUUUCUUUCAAACACCUUUUAAUAAUGAAGUAUCUUGCUGCUUCACCCCAUAACUAAUGCCCACCCACCGGUUCCACUACAUUUACCCAUCAAUUACCCAAUUUACCAAUGAAAUAUCAGUAGUCAAUUAAGUUUUGUGUCUUAGGUUGUAUCCUUUUGCAUUCCUCAGGGAAUUUAAUGGACAUAGCUUAAAUUGUGAUUAUAGAACAGUUGAAUCAGAUUUACUAAUCAGUGUUAUGGGCAAAUAUGAUAGGAGUGGAACUGGGUUAGGGCAGGGGCUACACAUUUGCCUUAUUUCAUGUAAAACAAUGCCAGUUAACAAUUGUGUACAUAUUAAACAUUUUGUGUCUGUGUGUGUAUUUGUGUCUUUGUGUCUGGAUGUGUGUGUGUGUGUGUUGAGAAGUACUUCCAAGUAUGUGCAUCUGGGAGAUAAGAUCAUUCAGCAACUGAAUGACAAGAAGUUGGAACUACACUUUCUGAUUUGAGAAUGUGCAGUGAUGUUAUGUAAUUAACACAGCAUAUUCUGUCUUAAUUAAGAUGGAGAGAUCAAUGGAAUCAAAUAGACAUUCUAGAGAUAACCUUCCCAUUUUUGGCCAAUUGAUUCAUGAUCUGGCUGUGGGGACAAGCAAGUCUGCGUGAAAUGGUCUUGUGGAAGCAAUAUAUGCAAAUAAUAAAGCAUCAAAUGGGACUAUGCCUUCAAUUUGUAGAAACAUUCACUUAAGUUUGAUGAAAUUCUCAAUGCCCAAAAUAGACUGUGGACCACUUUCAAGAAAACAUGCUAUAACCCAGAGAUUAAUUGAUGACAUCCACCAAAGUUAUGACUGCAAGAAAAGAGAAAUAUUCAUGGCAUUUUAUAUCCAAGGGUUUCUUGUAUAUGACAGCAUAUUUUAAAAAGUCAAAAUCAGAAAAACUUGACAAACAGGAAGAUAUCUAAGCUAAAACCUUUUGUUCA